rnacentral:lncRNA from 1 species
UGCUGGGAAGAUUUUACACCUGGGAACGAUGAAAUAUUCACUGCUGGAUACAAAGAACGCACUGUACCAAGAACAGUGGCAUUCAGCUAAUAUCAGCAUUUAAUCUCUGUUUUAUUGGAUCACUCUUUCCUUUGGUUUCUUGGCUUCAGGACAGAGGCCUAAUUUUCUCAACUGACUUAUGCCCUGCAUAACCCCAUUGACUUCAAUGACAUGACAUGGGGUUUAAUUCAGCAACGAAUUAGGUCCGGAAAGGUUUUUCAUAAAUGAUGCUAUUCUUGGAUAUGAACCUUGGCUUAAUAGUUUCUCUGUUCUCUUUUUAUAGACCAUCAGAUCCAAGAUAGCUGAAUAGUUACAUAUCUAGUAGGUCGAAAUGGUAAAGCUUUUCUUGUAAUACAGUUCAGUAGUUUACUAUCUUCUAAAACACCUCAAGUUCACUAAACUUCUCUCACAAAGUGCAACAAACUGUAUCACAAACUGCUUACAACUGAUCUUUUAAUUGUAUUCAGUUGCAUCCCUUAAAUGUCUAGGGAACUCCUCUGAUAUAUAAGCAAAUCCUACAGCAUUUCAUCGGAUGAGCUGGCUGAUUAAAAGAGUGCCUUAAAGCUAGAAAUCAUUCUGUUCUAAAUACAAAUGGAAGUUUGUUUCCUAUGAGACAAUCAGAGUUCAUAAAAUAAACCUCCCCUUCUCCCACAUUAAUCCAACUCUUUGCUUGGUACACAUACUAAUUUUGUUUUAAUUUGAACAUCACAUUAGGCUUUUUGUUGAUUUUUCCCCCUCUUUUUUUAACCAAGCAAUUUACCAGUUCUGAUCCAGUGACAGCCGUUCAAGAUUUAUCUUCUAAUUGCAUCAUCAUCAGAGGGCACACACUCAGAGCUGCAGUUCAGAACAAACUGUGGCAGUUUUUACUCUGAGUAUGCUCAAUGGCCUGAGCUCAUGGUGACCACUGAGACCUCUGCGAUGAAGAACAUGCUUCUUGGGUGGACCAAGACUUCCUGUAGGAAGGGUACAGCUCUGCAUGUAGCAGAGAUUUCUUGGGGACCAGUCAUCUAAAAUUAUUAAUGAAUUCCCACAUGGGUGAAGGGGUGUCCCAAAAUUUACCACCUCUGUUAUAGUGCAACAUGCAUUUCUUUGACCUUGUUUCUCUCAGAGAAACAUGCUACAAUGUACCUAUAUACAGCACAAAAUAAAAAAAA